UUGAUCCUGGCUCAAGAUGAACCCUUUAUAGAGGCUUAACACAUGCAAGUCGAGCGGUAUGUGCUUUAGUGCAUACAGCGGCAGACGGGUGAGUAACACGUAUCUAACCUUCCCCUUACUUGGGCAUAGCCUCUGGAAACGGAGAUUAAUUUCCGAUGUGGUGUACAUUUCGCAUGUUUUGCGCACCAAAUAUUUAUCGGUAAGGGAUGGGGAUGCGCUCCAUUAGCUAGUUGGUUGAGGUAACGGCUCACCAAGGCAACGAUGGAUAGGGGAACUGAGAGGUUUAUCCCCCACACUGGUACUGAGACACGGACCAGACUCCUACGGGAGGCAGCAGUGAGGAAUAUUGGUCAAUGGAGGCAACUCUGAACCAGCCACGUCGCGUGAAGGAUGACGGCCCUAUGGGUUGUAAACUUCUUUUAUACAGGAAUAAAGUGAGUCACGUGUGAUUUUUUGCAUGUACUGUAUGAAUAAGGAUCGGCUAACUCCGUGCCAGCAGCCGCGGUAAUACGAAGGAUCCGAGCGUUAUCCGGAUUUAUUGGGUUUAAAGGGUGCGCAGGCGGAAGAUUAAGUCGGCGGUGAAAUUUUGCAGCUCAACUGUAAAAGUGCCAUCGAUACUGGUUUUCUUGAGUGUGGAUGAAGUAGGCGGAAUUUGUGGUGUAGCGGUGAAAUGCAUAGAUAUCACGAGGAACUCCGAUUGCGCAGGCAGCUUACUAGGCCACAACUGACGCUCAGGCACGAAGGCGUGGGGAUCAAACAGGAUUAGAUACCCUGGUAGUCCACGCAGUAAACUAUGAUUACUCGCCGUUUGCGAUACACAGUAAGCGGCUUAGCGAAAGCGUUAAGUAAUCCACCUGGGGAGUACGUUCGCAAGAAUGAAACUCAAAGGAAUUGACGGGGGCCCGCACAAGCGGAGGAACAUGUGGUUUAAUUCGAUGAUACGCGAGGAACCUUACCCGGGCUUGAAAUGCAUCUGACAGGAGCCGAGAAGCUUUUUCCCUUCGGGGCAGAUGUGUAGGUGCUGCAUGGUUGUCGUCAGCUCGUGCCGUGAGGUGUCGGCUUAAGUGCCAUAACGAGCGCAACCCUUGUCAUUAGUUGCCAUCAGGUCAAGCUGGGGACUUUAAUGAGACUGCCACCGUAAGGUGUGAGGAAGGGGGGGAUGACGUCAAAUCAGCACGGCCCUUAUGUCCGGGGCGACACACGUGUUACAAUGGGAGGUACAGAGGGCAGCUAUCCGGUGACGGAAUGCUAAUCUCCAAAACCUUUCUCAGUUCGGAUUGGAGUCUACAACUCGACUCCAUGAAGGUGGAUUCGCUAGUAAUCGCGCAUCAGCCAUGGCGCGGUGAAUACGUUCCCGGGCCUUGUACACACCGCCCGUCA
rnacentral:rRNA from 1 species